ACCUGGGUGGCUCAGUUGGUUGAGUGUCUGACUUUGGCUCAGGUCAUGAUCUCAUGGUUUGUGGGUUCGAGCCCCACAUUGGGUU
rnacentral:tRNA from 1 species